rnacentral:rRNA from 1 species
AUUGAACGCUGGCGGCAUGCCUUACACAUGCAAGUCGAACGGCAGCGGGGACUUCGGUCCGCCGGCGAGUGGCGAACGGGUGAGUAAUGUAUCGGAACGUACCAUUCAGUGGGGGAUAACUAUCCGAAAGGAUAGCUAAUACCGCAUAUUCUGUGAGCAGGAAAGCAGGGGAUCGCAAGACCUUGCGCUGAUUGAGCGGCCGAUAUCAGAUUAGCUAGUUGGUGAGGUAACGGCUCACCAAGGCUACGAUCUGUAGCGGGUCUGAGAGGAUGAUCCGCCACACUGGGACUGAGACACGGCCCAGACUCCUACGGGAGGCAGCAGUGGGGAAUUUUGGACAAUGGGCGCAAGCCUGAUCCAGCCAUGCCGCGUGAGUGAAGAAGGCCUUCGGGUUGUAAAGCUCUUUCGGCCGGGAAGAAAUCGCAUCAGCUAAUACCUGGUGUGGAUGACGGUACCGGAAUAAAAAGCACCGGCUAACUACGUGCCAGCCGCCGCCGUAACAC